ensembl:lncRNA
UCAGGGCAACAUUUCCUGGCAUUGCUUUAUUGACUGUUGCAGGCUUAGAGCAAGUGUGAGAGAGACCUUGAGCAGGAGGAGGAUUUGAAAUGCACUGAGUUUUGCUGGUUGGCUGCAAUGUGAGCUGAGCACGGCUGCAAGCAGCUGCUCUGGGGGGCAGUUCAAAGAAAGGAGGGGGUUUUCUUCAGCACCUGCCCUGCUUUUCAGCACUGUACCUGCUUGCUUCACUGCUCUUGCUCAGGGCUGUGCAGGCGCUGGGUGUUACAGGGCAGGGUGUUAAAGCUGUUGCUGGAUUGUGCUGAGCAGGUGAGUAAGUAGUUCUAUCAGUCAAGCUGAUUUUCAAUGUUGGGCCCACCCAAAUCAAGAAGCCCUUGAUGCUCACAGAUCAGAAACAUCACCAGUCAUGAAGGUGUAGGAGAUGAGGGCUGAGCUGUGAGGCAGUCAGAGCACAGCCCAAGGGAAAAGAGACAGGAGAAGAGGGGGGGGUGUCAGGAUUUAGAAUCCUGGGGGCAGAUUGCAGCCCUGGGCUUUUUUCCUUCCUCUUCCCUUGAAUCAUAGCACGUGUAGUAUGUCAUAAAAUGCAUUGGAAUCCCUUUCUCGAGGAAGGGAUCCAUUUUUGCACACCUCCAUUCUCUUUUCAGCAGCAUUCACUUUCCUUUGGCUGUUUCUCAGGCAGAAGCAAAGCAGCUGCAGCUUCCAGCCCUUCAGGCAUGUAGUGAUGCUUCAUCACUUAAGGGCUGCUGCCAAAGCAGGGCCCACUUCCCUUCUCCUCAAUGAGAUGCUACACAGCUCAGAAAGUCAACGACUUCUCCAAACGGCACCGAAUGAGAAGGAAAAGUGGGAGAGUGGUUUUUGCAGACAGGAUAAUAGUUGAUUAUGAACGCCCUGCGUUUCCGCUUCCCCUUUUGUGGGGGGAGAUGAAAAAUUUUUGAAUGAAAAAAAGAAAAAGCACAGAUGAAGAUCACUACUCUUUAACCUUUAAUUUCCCAUAGGCUGGUUGUAACUAUCUCACUACCAUGGUUUGGGACUCGUGGAGGCAAAGAAGGCAUCUUAGAGUGCCAAACCCUUUAUGCCCCGACAAACAGUUCUCAUCCUCCCCCACCCCAAACAGAAGUGGAGCAAAAAGUCACCAUCCUUAUUCCAGCACGGCUGGGCACAGCGCUGCUAAGUCACCAUCCUUAUUCCAGCACAGCUGGGCACAGCACUGCUAAGUCACCAUCCUUAUUCCAGCACGGCUGGGCACAGCGCUGCUCUUUCCUUCUCUGUUCAGCAGCACUUCUGCUGCUUCUAUUUGUGCAUGGCUGUGCCCACAGCUGCUUUCCAACAACUCCCCUUUGCUUCUGGCUCAGUUCUGUCACAGUUCCAGCAGCUCUGACCAAACAUCUGCAGGUGGAUCAUGGCUCGUUAGGCAGUGCUGCUAUAAAGUGUCUCAUGGGGCUUCAGCAGCUCAGUGCCACCACGGGGGAUGGAGGAGGAAGGAAGUUAUAUUAAGAGACAUCGUGAUGACUGAGAUGGGACAGUUUGCCCAUGGAGAGGAGGACGGAGUUCUGUCUUUCUUUCUCCAUACCUCCUGCUGGGGAAAAAAGCAAGCAUCGCUCCCUGCUCAUCCCUUUUCUGCCCUGGGAAGGUCCGUUGGCAGGGAGGAACUGGGCAGACCUGCAGCCCUGGGUCUGUGCAGCAGCCCGUGCUUCCUGUGCAGAUGCAUUAGAAAAGAGGGAGAGCUUUAAGAGUAUUUAAGAGUAUUUUAAAGCAGCUGCAGGCAUCACGCUUGAGUGGCAGCACUGAGCUGAACCACAGUGAGAGAGCAGAAGUUGGCAUCGAACCCAGCAGCAAGGAGAACGUGGCCACGUUUUACUAUGAGAGUUAACCAGCACUUCCUCCUCCUCAAUUCUGCUCUCUCUGCUGCAGAUCAGAGCCCUGUGCCCUUCAGGUUUGCUUAUGGUGUGAGCAAGUAACCUGUUGGUUCAUUUCCCCAAGCAGCUGCAGUGGGAUCAUGGCUCCAUGCAGUACCAAAGACAACAGCUACAACAGCUACUAGAAUCCUCAGAGACCUAUUCCAUUGGAUGCUACCUAUUUGCCAAACCUAUCUUUGUCUUACUUAGAAAUUAACAAUGUUUCCUACUCAUCACUGGUCCAUUUUUUCCUUUAGCAGUGACCGGUCCUGCAGCUGCCCUCCGCUUCCAUCCAUCAGCACGCAGUGCUGGGGUUCCCCAGGAUGCAGCUCAGCGUGGGGCUGAGCACUGAGCCACGUUCCUGUCCCAGCCGGGUGGGAGGAGACACCCCAGCCUGCUCGUGAGCUCUGUGCAAAACUAUUUUCCAGUGCAACGGUGCCCUGAGGGAAAAGGGAAAGGGCAGAA